rnacentral:misc_RNA from 1 species
AAGUCGUAACAAGGUUUCCGUAAGUGAACCUGCGGAAGGAUCAUUAACACGUAUCCAAACGUUAAAACAACCCUGUGAACCUUCAGCGUGUUGCAGGACAUCAAAACAGCAAUCCCGAGUAAAUCAGGCGCUAAAGAAUUACAGAUUUUGAUUUUGGGAAGUUCUGUGUGCUGCAAUUGUGUAGGUCCACACGACCGGCGACCGGGGUGGAGGCGAAAGCCCCUACGUCAUCCCUAUGUACCCUCCGUGAAAGCUGACUCCGUCAUAAAUGGAACAACUGUUAACUCUUGAAUCUCA